AUCAACUUUCGAUUGGUAGGAUAGAGGCCUACCAUGGUGGUAACGGGUAACGGGGAAUUAGGGUUCGAUUCCGGAGAGGGAGCCUGAGAAACGGCUACCACUUCCAAGGAAGGCAGCAGGCGCGCAAAUUACCCAAUCCCGACACGGGGAGGUAGUGACAAUAAAUAACAAUACGGGGCUCUUUAGGGUCUCGUAAUUGGAAUGAGUACAAUUUAAAUCCCUUAACGAGGAACAAUUGGAGGGCAAGUCUGGUGCCAGCAGCCGCGGUAAUUCCAGCUCCAAUAGCGUAUAUUAAAGUUGUUGCAGUUAAAAAGCUCGUAGUUGAAUUUCGGGAUUGACGUGAUGGUCAUGCCUUAAGGGGUAUGAACUGUUGCAGUUGAUUUCUCACCUUCUGGAGAAACUUGAUGUCCUUUAUUGGGUGUCUUGCGGAUCCAGGACCUUUACCUUGAAAAAAUUAGAGUGUUUAAAGCAGGCAUUUUUGCUCGAAUACAUUAGCAUGGAAUAAUAGAAUAGGACGGCAUGGUUCUAUUUUGUUGGUUUCUAGGAUCACCGUAAUGAUUAAUAGGGAUAGUUGGGGGCAUUAGUAUUCAAUUGUCAGAGGUGAAAUUCUUGGAUUUAUUGAAGACUAACUACUGCGAAAGCAUUUGCCAAGGAUGUUUUCAUUAAUCAAGAACGAAAGUUAGGGGAUCGAAGACGAUCAGAUACCGUCGUAGUCUUAACCAUAAACUAUGCCGACUAGGAAUCAGACGAUGUUAAUUUUUUAAUGACUCGUUUGGCACCUUACGGGAAACCAAAGUGUUUGGGUUC
rnacentral:rRNA from 1 species